GAACCAGCAAGAAUUCCCAGAAGUGGUAAAACCUGAGGUGUCUAAUAUACUCCUGUUUGCUAUAAGGGAACCUCAAACCCCUUCCCCUGUGCCCUAUAAACCGUCAGUGCUUAGCUACACACAACAUCCAGGUACCCAAGUCUGCUAUGAGUAGAACCAAAGAGACAGGUGCUAUAGUUUGAAUGUGUCCCCCAAAAUUCGUGUAUUGGAAACUUAAUCCCCAAUGCAACAAUGGUAAGAGGUAGGACUUUUAAGAGGUGAUUAAGUUACAAGGGCUCUGUCCUCAUGAAUGGAUUAAUGUUGUUAUUGCAGGAGUGUGUUUGUUAUUGCAAAAGUAGGUUGGUUAUAAAAGUGAGUUUGGGCCAUAUGUGGAGUGUUUCACACUUGUAGUCCCAACACUUUGGGAGGCCGAGGCAGG
rnacentral:lncRNA from 1 species